AAUGAUGUAUAAUUAUUUAGUGGUUUCAAAAAAAAUAGUAUAAAACUGUUUUCAGAUGUAUGUUGUUUUAUAAAAUAAAUUAUGUUGUUGUGUAUUUUGUUCCCUUUUAAUUGGCAUGUUUUAAUAAUAUUAGAUUGUCUUGUUUUAAUGUAAAAUAAGAUGAACAAAACUGAAACAGAUUGGACAGUGCAAUCCACAGUGACUGAUUCUGUAAGCUUCUUACACUGUUUGGACGAGAUACCAUUAUAAUUUAUAAUGAUUCAGAUUUAACAGUAAGUAGUAAACUUGGAAAUUUACCGGUUACCAUGGUAAAACUUUAUAAGGGCAACACUUAGCAGAUCGUAUUUCUGCAGUAUUCCAGCGUCACUGUUUACAGUACAAACCACCCUGGGAAAAUUAAAGACCUUAAAGAUUUUGUUUUAAAGAUUAAAUUGACUGACCAACUGGAAAUAGUCCAGUUGGGGACAAUAUAGCCUACUAUAGUUUCACUCAAAAAAAAACAAAAAAACGAUGACAUUACAUGUGAGCGACGAUUUUACAAACAAAUGUGCACUAAUACGAUAAAACAUGAAUAACUGAUAUAUAAAUGUCAUCUUACUGACCUGAAACUAUAAUAUCACAAGGAAGAUUCUGUCCUAAAGUUUAGGGCCUAACGUAAGUUUCGCGGAGAUUCAACGCCCUUCGCUGCUUGUGUCAUCAUGAUAGUACCUGAGGCAGGUGUAGCUCUCAGCCGCAGGUGAAACGAACGUCCUCAGGAUCCUUUCAUUCGUUUAAGGAAAAACAAAAAAGAAAGCUGUAUGAAUACUCUAACUCCAGUCCCACUCACUCUGCUUCGAAACUUUGUGGGCUUAAACAGAGACAGGAACUUUGUUCAAAUCAAGUCGAGUGCUACUCCUCAUUUGUGAAGAGUUGAGUAGGACGCUUGGUCCUAAUGCGAGUCGGAUUUCAAAGAGAAAUAAAACAGCUGAUCGUGGUCCUACACGCCGGAAAAAUGGGUUUCCUUGGGAAUUACCUAGAGAGCCUUGGCCAUGGUGUCAGCGCUGAAGGUCGGAUCUAGAACCAUCACUGCGCCAUGGAUGCCACUGUUCUGAAGGCUAUCAGCAUAUUCCUGCAUUAAACAGGUUGGACAUUUUAUCAGGUAUGUUUAUGACAUUUAUAUAUUGUUAAGUAUGGUUUUGAGUUUCCAAAUACUUAUUUAGAACACUGAAUAUUCCACAUACACUGCUGUUCAAAUUUUUUUUUAUAUAUAUAUUUUCCUUUUUUUUAACACACACGCACACGACUUUUUCAAAAAAAAAUAUAUAUAUUUUUUUUUACUUUUUUUUAUUUCAACUAAGGACAUAAUUUGAUCAAGUAAAGACUUUUAAAUUGUUACAAAAAUCCUGAAAAAAGUUAAGCAGCACAACUAAUUAUAGGUGUAAUGUCUGUUGAAAAUGCAGCUUUGCCAUCUCAUGAUAAAUUACUUUUUAAAUAUAUAAUUAUAGAAAACAUUAUUU
rnacentral:lncRNA from 1 species